rnacentral:rRNA from 2 species
AGAGUUUGAUCAUGGCUCAGAUUGAACGCUGGCGGCAGGCCUAACACAUGCAAGUCGAGCGGUAGCACAGAGAGCUUGCUCUCGGGUGACGAGCGGCGGACGGGUGAGUAAUGUCUGGGAAACUGCCUGAUGGAGGGGGAUAACUACUGGAAACGGUAGCUAAUACCGCAUAAUGUCGCAAGACCAAAGUGGGGGACCUUCGGGCCUCAUGCCAUCAGAUGUGCCCAGAUGGGAUUAGCUAGUAGGUGGGGUAACGGCUCACCUAGGCGACGAUCCCUAGCUGGUCUGAGAGGAUGACCAGCCACACUGGAACUGAGACACGGUCCAGACUCCUACGGGAGGCAGCAGUGGGGAAUAUUGCACAAUGGGCGCAAGCCUGAUGCAGCCAUGCCGCGUGUGUGAAGAAGGCCUUCGGGUUGUAAAGCACUUUCAGCGGGGAGGAAGGCGAUAAGGUUAAUAACCUUGUCGAUUGACGUUACCCGCAGAAGAAGCACCGGCUAACUCCGUGCCAGCAGCCGCGGUAAUACGGAGGGUGCAAGCGUUAAUCGGAAUUACUGGGCGUAAAGCGCACGCAGGCGGUCUGUCAAGUCGGAUGUGAAAUCCCCGGGCUCAACCUGGGAACUGCAUUCGAAACUGGCAGGCUAGAGUCUUGUAGAGGGGGGUAGAAUUCCAGGUGUAGCGGUGAAAUGCGUAGAGAUCUGGAGGAAUACCGGUGGCGAAGGCGGCCCCCUGGACAAAGACUGACGCUCAGGUGCGAAAGCGUGGGGAGCAAACAGGAUUAGAUACCCUGGUAGUCCACGCCGUAAACGAUGUCGAUUUGGAGGUUGUGCCCUUGAGGCGUGGCUUCCGGAGCUAACGCGUUAAAUCGACCGCCUGGGGAGUACGGCCGCAAGGUUAAAACUCAAAUGAAUUGACGGGGGCCCGCACAAGCGGUGGAGCAUGUGGUUUAAUUCGAUGCAACGCGAAGAACCUUACCUGGUCUUGACAUCCACAGAACUUGCCAGAGAUGGCUUGGUGCCUUCGGGAACUGUGAGACAGGUGCUGCAUGGCUGUCGUCAGCUCGUGUUGUGAAAUGUUGGGUUAAGUCCCGCAACGAGCGCAACCCU